GCGGAGAACUGGUAGUGCACCUUGAUGACGUCCCCGUUAUCGUCGUCGUCGUCCGGCGUCGACAUGCCGAGGCUUCCACGUAAAGACAUGCUAGCUAACGAGCUUGGAGGAAAUGGGGAGACGGCGGUGGUUUUAGAGGACGAACUCAGAGAUUGGAGGACUCAUGGACAUGCAAAACUGGGGAUAUUUAAGUUUUUGCCAUCAUAAGGGAUGGUCACUUUUGCAAAUGACCUAACAAUUUUGCCACUGGUGAGAGAAGGAUUUUAACAUCUUUACCAAAUUCGCCUACGGUUGCAUGACACGUUGGGUCGACAGCUUAUCCAGCCCACAUGAAAUGUCACUUCUGCCCCCACCUUAUCCUUUACCUCCCCCGCACCAGACCAAGCCCUUUGACCCAGCCGAUGCCUCCUUCUCUUUCCCGCCGCCAUCUCCUCCCCCU
rnacentral:lncRNA from 1 species